rnacentral:rRNA from 1 species
AGAGGGGGACAACAGUUGGAAACGACUGCUAAUACCGCAUAAGCCCACGACCCGGCAUCGGGUUGAGGGAAAAGGAGCAAUCCGCUUUGAGAUGGCCUCGCGUCCGAUUAGCUAGUUGGUGAGGUAACGGCCCACCAAGGCAACGAUCGGUAGCCGGACUGAGAGGUUGAACGGCCACAUUGGGACUGAGACACGGCCCAGACUCCUACGGGAGGCAGCAGUGGGGAAUAUUGCACAAUGGGGGAAACCCUGAUGCAGCGACGCCGCGUGGAGGAAGAAGGUCUUCGGAUUGUAAACUCCUGUUGUUGAGGAAGAUAAUGACGGUACUCAACAAGGAAGUGACGGCUAACUACGUGCCAGCAGCCGCGGUAAAACGUAGGUCACAAGCGUUGUCCGGAAUUACUGGGUGUAAAGGGAGCGCAGGCGGGAAGACAAGUUGGAAGUGAAAUCCAUGGGCUCAACCCAUGAACUGCUUUCAAAACUGUUUUUCUUGAGUAGUGCAGAGGUAGGCGGAAUUCCCGGUGUAGCGGUGGAAUGCGUAGAUAUCGGGAGGAACACCAGUGGCGAAGGCGGCCUACUGGGCACCAACUGACGCUGAGGCUCGAAAGUGUGGGUAGCAAACAGGAUUAGAUACCCUGGUAGUCCACACCGUAAACGA